rnacentral:rRNA from 1 species
AGCAGGCGCGAAAACUUUACAAUGCGGGCAACCGCGAUAAGGGGACCUCGAGUGCUGGGUUACAAACCUGGCUGUUGGGCUGCCUAAAAAGCAGUCUAUAGCAAGGGCCGGGCAAGACCGGUGCCAGCCGCCGCGGUAACACCGGCGGCUCGAGUGGUAACCGCUAUUAUUGGGUCUAAAGGGUCUGUAGCCGGCUGGUUAAGUCUCUUGGGAAAUCUGGCCUCUUAAGGGUCAGGCUGCCAGGAGAUACUGACUGGCUGG